rnacentral:rRNA from 1 species
CUUGGAAGCAGCCAUUCAUUUAAAGAGUGCGUAACAGCUCACUAGUCGAGGAGUCGGGCGUGGAUAAUAAUCGGGUAUGAAGUUGUCUACCGAAGCAGUGGGAUCAUUAAUAUGAUCGGUAGGGGAGCAUUCCAGUCGGCGUCGAAGGCGUACCGUGAGGUAUUCUGGAGCGUCUGGAAAAGCAAAUGUAGGUAUAAGUAACGAUAAAGGGGGCGGGAAACCCCCUCGCCGAAAGACUAAGGUUUCCUGAUCAACGCUAAUCGGAUCAGGGUCAGUCGGGUCCUAAGGCUCAGCCGAACGGCGAUGCCGAUGGCAGAAACGGUUAAUAUUCCGUUACUACCUUCAGGAGUGACGUGGAGACGCAGUAGUGACAGUGCCGCCAUCUGACGGAAUAGAUGGUUGAAGGGUGUAGGAGUCGAUCAUGGCAGGCAAAUCCACCAUGAGAUCCGAACCUGAUAGUAUGCCGCGUCCUUCGGGACAAGGCAAUAGUGCGCGUAAGCAUGCUGCCGAGAAAAUCCGCUAAACUUAAUCCUGCAGGUACCCGUACCGCAAACGGACACACGUAGUCGGGAUGAAUAUUCUAAGGCGCUUGAGUGAUUCACGGUUAAGGAACUAGGCAAACUGACCCUGUAACUUCGGGAUAAAGGGUCCCUACCCUUUUAUGGGAGGGCGCAGAGAAUCGGUCCAGGCAACUGUUUAACAAAAACACAGGGCUGUGCCAAAUCGAAAGAUCCAGUAUACAGCCUGACACCUGCCCGGUGCUGGAAGGUUAAGAGGAGAUGUCAUCGAUAAGAGAAGCGUUGAAUUGAAGCCCCAGUAAACGGCGGCCGUAACUAUAACGGUCCUAAGGUAGCGAAAUUCCUUGUCGGGUAAGUUCCGACCUGCACGAAUGGUGUAAUGAUCUGGACGCUGUCUCAACCGUGAGCUCAGUGAAAUUGUAGUAUCGGUGAAGAUGCCGAUUACCCGCGAUGGGACGAAAAGACCCCGUGAACCUUUACUAUAGCUUAUCAUUGAAUCUGGGCACGUGAUGUGUAGGAUAGGUCGGAGGCUUUGAAGCAGGUACGCCAGUAUUUGUGGAGCCGCUGUUGAAAUACGACCCUUUAUUUGUUUGGAUUCUAACCCGUGGAACGGGGACAUUGAUUGGUGGGUAGUUUGACUGGGGUGGUCGCCUCCAAAAGCGUAACGGAGGCUUCUAAAGGUGCCCUCCGGCCGAUUGGUAACCGGCCUUAGAGUGUAAUGGCAUAAGGGCGCUUGACUGGGAGACUGACAAGUCGAUCAGGUAGGAAACUAGAGCAUAGUGAUCCGGUGUUUCCGUAUGGAAGGGACAUCGCUCAAAGGAUAAAAGGUACUCCGGGGAUAACAGGCUGAUCCCUCCCA